rnacentral:rRNA from 1 species
CUGCCCAGACUCCUACGGGAGGCUGCAGUCAAGAAUCUUCCUCAAUGGACGAAAGUCUGAAGGAGCAAUGCCGCGUGGUAGAUGAAGCUUUUCGGAGUGUAAAUACCUUUUAUCAGGGACGAAUUUGUGACGGUACCUGAUGAAUAAGUCACUCCUAACUUCGUGCCAGCAGCAGCGGUAAUACGAAGGUGGCAAGCGUUACCCGGAUUAAUUGGGCGUAAAGCGUCCGCAGACGGUUUUAAAAGUUUUUAGUUAAAUCUUGAGGCUUAACCUCAAGACCGCUGAAAAUACUUUAAAACUAGAGGAUGGGAGAGGCAAACGGAAUUGCUGGUGUAGUAGUAAAAUGCGUUAAUAUCAGCAGGAACACCAAAAGCGAAGGCAGUUUGCUAGAACAAUCCUGACGUUCAGGGACGAAAGCGUGGGUAGCGAAUGGGAUUAGAUACCCCAGUAGUCCACGCCGUAAAUGUUGGAUACUAGAUAUUGGAAGUAUCGACCCUUUCAGUGUCGUUUACCGAAGUUAACACCUUAAGUAUCCCGCCUGGGGAGUACGGCCGCAAGGCUAAAACUCAAAGGAAUUGACGGGAACCCGCACAAGCGGUGGAGCAUGUGGUUUAAUUCGACGAUAAGCGAAAAACCUUACCAAGGCUUGACAUAUACCUGCAAAUCUUAAGAAAUUAAGACUCUUUCGAAGGUGGUAUACAGGUGCUGCAUGGUUGUCGUCAGCUCGUGUCGUGAGAUGUUGGGUUAAGUCCUUUAACGAGCGCAACCCUUAUCCUAUGUUGUAUAUCAUAGGAGACUGCCCUGGUUUAACAGGGAGGAAGGUGAGGAUGACGUCAAAUCAGCAUGGCUCUUACGCCUUGGGCAACACACGUGCUACAAUGGUCAGUACAACAGGUCGCAAAACCGCAAGGUGAAGCUAAUCCUUUCAAAACUGAUCUAAGUUCGGAUUGAGGUCUGCAACUCGACCUCAUGAAGUUGGAAUCGCUAGUAAACGCUGAUCAGCUAUGCAGCGUUGAAUACGUUCUCGGGUUUUGUACACACCGCCCGUCACACCAAGAGAGUCGAUAGCACCCGAAGGCUGACAUUAGUCGGACGAAGGUGAAAUUGAUGAUAGGGGUGAAGUCGUAACAAGGCAUCCGUAGCGGAAGCUGUGGAUA